UUCCAAAUAUAUGAAGUGUUUCACAUUGCCUUAGAAUGCUUUUAUAAAGCUUUAAUCAUUUUAGAGGCCAUUUAAACUAUUUAUCUUAAAGCAAACACAAACAUAUGAUAUAUAUGCAUUUUUAAAGUGAAAUAUAAGACUUCAAAUAAAUUUCUCCUGUGAGUUAGUUUGCCUGAGGCCCUAUAGCCUCUACAUUUAGAGGGUAUUUCGAGGCAUGGCUAUGUAUAGGGAGGGUGGGAGACAAUCUGAGAAAAUCUGAACAGAUGGUGGGAGAAUCAGGGUGGAGGUUCUGAAAAAGCCAUAUAGAGAAGGUGACUAUGAUGAAAUCUGAAAUAUAGAGAGGUUUGGAUGACAGAUACUUAAAACUUAUGUUUAUUUCAAUGUCCAUUUAUGUAUCUAUCUAGUUGCUUUUUAUAUUUUCUAAAACAUUAAGAAGAAAUAAGCAUUGCCAUAUUGAGAAUUUUUGUGUUAAUGGGAAAAUUCAUAAAUUCCAAAAUGAAGUAGUAAUUGACAGCUUUUUUGGGUACAUAAAUCAGGAAGUUAUCAGUGGUAUACAACUAUGUAGUGUCAUAUUUGGGAAAAAGUAUACCUAUCUCGCCAUGUGUAGAAGAGAG
rnacentral:lncRNA from 1 species